UUAUUACUCCUUCCGUCCGGAAAUACUUUCCGAAGAAUGGAUGUAUCUAGAUGUAUUUUAGUUCUAGAUACAUCCGUUUGUAUCCAUUUCUAUGGCAAGUAUUUUCAGAUGGAGGGAGUAUAUA
rfam:Triticum aestivum genome assembly, contig: Triticum_aestivum_CS42_TGACv1_scaffold_271823_3DS